UCUGUGGUCACAGUUCACCCCUGGAAAAGGUGUAAUCACAAAUUGUGCGUAGCCGAACUCUUUGUAGCUAGACGAUCUUAAGGAAAGACGUGCCAAAGACGAGUUUAAGGACAGACGUGCCAAAGGGUGAGCUUAAGGACAGACGUGCCAAAGGUGGUCCACAACUUCUCUGGAUGUCCUUACCAAGCCAGAGUCUAACUUUAACAAGAUCCCCCAGGUCACAUUCCUAAGAGCUUUCACAGAGGGAGUGCGCUCGGGAGAAGGGAUGUGAGAAGUAGGAGAGGACAGGACAAGGAGCUGACCAGGAGUGUGGCUGCAGCGGGACCCACCUUCAGCCAGUGGCUCGGGAGCAUGAAUUGAAUCACAGAGUUGGUCCCACCUUGAGGCUGAAGUGCUACUGGGGAAAGGUGUGUGACAGGGGAUGAGAUGCUCUCAAAAGUCUCCUGUCAAUCUGGGCCCGACAUAGCAGGUUUAUAUCAUCAAGAUGAUCUGUUGUUAAAGAGAAGUGAAGAGGCUAUAUUUUCUUUUCAAACCUGAGUGAGGAUGUGAAUAAAUUGGCAAUUCUAUUUCAUGCAUUUUAUGAUUCUUUACUUCCUCAGAGCUUUCUAAUCUUUUUCUGGAGAUGCAGAUUUUCUUUGUUCAUUUUCCAAAUAAAAAUCUCCUUUCUUGGCUCCCCUGACGUCGACCUCCUUAGUCUUUGCCUAUAUAUCCAGAUGUCUCAUUUCACAUAUUUUUGUCCCCAGAUCUUUAAACUCAGCCACUUCUCAAGGCUCAAAUUUUGGCACCACAUCCUGAUUUAUUCUGCAUGAAGUAUUGUUUCAUGGAAAAAAAUUUGAUAUACAGCAUAAACUAUUUUAUAAAUAGUU